CGGUGAGACAGAGAAGUGGAAAAUAUUAUUUUACUUGCAUGAUGUGGCUUCAAACUUUUCAAAGAGUCUCAGAAAAUGGUUCUUACAGACUCGUACCGUGACACAACUUCACACACGAUGUACUUUCACUAUUCAUCAUUUGAUAGGGAAUCAUUAAGAAAAUCAUGAAUAAUAUUUUUUUCUCUCGCAGGACUGCGAAAAGGACUGUGUGUGUGUGUGUUUGUGUUAAACUUCUGUAACACACACACACAGUUGUGACAGAGUCAGAUGUGUGGGUCAGAGUUCCUAGCAAUGACCACGCCUGUCAGUUUACAGAACACAGAAUUGAUUUCCUUUGAACUUUACACACUGGGCAACAUUAACCUACAUAAAGCACAUGAAUCUAUCACGGCCAGUGACAGCAGCUAUCAGCACCGUGUUGACUUGGCUUUCACGGCGUCUUCCAUAUUAUGUGUUUGUGCUAACACUUUGCUGACAGACAUUAUCUGGCAGAGAAAAGAGAGACAGUGCUGUUGCACAAUCAAUCGGAGUAAAAAACCUCUUAUUCACACAUUCAUCUGAACCUACCUGACAGAUAAGGCAAACCCUCACCUGAUUCUUGUCUGAACAGAGACAGGGUUGGAUAAGAUUAAAGUGAUUGCUAUGCUAUAAAUGUUUUGCACUGCCAUGCAGUGUUACAGAUGUAACAUUUAACAUAUCAUGAUGUAUAGUAAUGAAACUAGGCCCAUUUUCUUUGAGAAUUUUGCAGUCACACAACAAAUUUGUGUCUUUGCAGGUAGUCAAAUACACACUAUACAUUAAUGAUGUCGCAUGAAGUCUAAUUAAACUUAAUCUUAUGAUUUGAAAACUGUGUGUCCAUGAAAGAGAUGUGCGUAUUGGUAGAGAAAUGAACAAGAGAACCAUUGUUCCUCUGGCUCCGGCAGGAAUUACUCUUGGGCUGCUUAAACAUUCUUGAAUGAACCACAUUGCAUUGCACACACAGAGGUCGUUUUGGGGUUUCUCUGAGUUUGGUGCAUGUUACUGCAACUAAUUAUUACUUUAUGCACAAUGCAAUACUUAAUCUCUGUUGGAUUUCCUAAAGACCCUGGGAAAAGAGCAGAUCGGCUCGAUUUCUCAGAGGUGGCCUUAUUGAAAGCAGGUCACAUUUGGGGAAACAAUCUGCUCACUAUUGUUUUGCUAAUCCAUUUCACUGUAAUACAUUACAUAAGAUUCUGGUGGAGAAAACAUUAACUAACAACCCCUGCAUAGUGGUUCAUGAAGUGGCAAACGGACAGCAGUAAUGACUUAACUUUGCUAAAUUAGUUUAAUAAGAGAAUGUAUAAGAUGACUACUGAAAUCAUGGGCUUCACUGUGAACUCACUCACUCUAGGCCUACAGCCAAUUAUCUAGCCUAAUUCUGCAUGAAGUCAGAUGUUACAACAAGGGGGGUCUUGAAGGCAAACUCUUCCCAACAGGGGUGGGGGUGGGACGGUGGCCUAAUGUAAUUCUGUCUGAGGCUCCAUGACAUGUAAAGGUUUUGGAUCUCCAAUUCCUACAGUGACAUUAAUCAUGGCUGGGAUGCAGGAGAGGAAAUGCAGAGACCAACAAUGUCAAAGUGGGACACUCUACUCCACUGUGCACCAAUGAAGACUUCAAACAAGGCCCUUGCUUUGGAGUGAACCUUCGCUUGUACAGGUCUCAAACUUUGUCCCCCUUUCAGCACUCGCUCCAGUGAGGGGACUAUAGGCACAUUAGACACGGCACUAAAACGGAGCAGGCGGUCUACAAUUCACUGCGAUAAAAGGGGGCUUUGUGCAGGAGAAGUCACUUGAAAGAGAACUGACAAGACUCCUUUUAUGAUUCCGCCUGGCAAGCGGCAUCCUCGCAGAGCCCUACCCCUGGAAACUGCGCUUUCAUAUGAUAAUAGUUGAACCAAAGGGGCGACUGGAUCCCAGUCUUUACAAAAGGAUAUGGACCCGCUAUCAUUAGGAUCAGCAGGUGGUGGUAUGAGCAAAUGUCAUGGCCAGGGACAGACAGAGAAUAAAAAAAUUACCAUGAACCUUUGACCCAGACGAGCCCACCAACACUGACCCGACAAUCAAAAAAUAACUAUCCACCAGUGGACAUGGUGCUUAAAGGUCUGGAGCAAGCCAGUGGAGUAAGGUCAGGGUGUUAUUGGCAUGCUUUCCCUUAUGCCUCCGGAGAAAGUGGACAGGUGUGGAUGGAGAUGAGGUGGGGUGCUGGGCAGCCAGUGAUGUCUACCAGCCUCCAAGCUAUUGCUGUGGAAUUUCAGAAGAUUGAGGCACUAAGACAGAGAAAAAGGAAGGAGACAAAGAAGACGGGAUAAUACAAGCCCAUGCAUGCUUUUCCAUGCCACGUGCUUUCUCUGCUUUUAAUGUCUUGUUGUAAACCCUCCUCCCUUUUUCACGACACACUUCUCUGCUGCUCCUGUGUACCUGCCUUAUGUAACCCUCCUUGCAGCAAUCGGUUGUUCAACAUCCUUCCUCAGAGCUUUCAUCUGUUCCCGCUGACACCCCUGACCAUACACCAGCUGUGCCCUGGCCCAAAAUCAUCUGUAACUUCUUUAUCAAAGUCCAAGUCAUGGAAAAUGACACCACCAUCCACUCUAAACCUAAUUUCAUAGCUUAUUAGUCAAUUUCCUGUGUACUGACUAUAGAGAUACAUGAGCAGGUUCUCCUGGAACUUUCACUGCUUUUCCAGCUGACAAUGUCUGUUUUUACUCAUCAUAGUUAAAGAUGGAUUGUGUGAUUAGGUAGAGAUGCUGUUCUAAACUGUAAAAUGCACAUCCAACUAUUUGUCAUAACAAACAAGUGUUUAUAAUUACACUUCAAAAUAUUA